AGCGAACGCUGGCGGCAGGCUUAACACAUGCAAGUCGAGCGGGCGUAGCAAUACGUCAGCGGCAGACGGGUGAGUAACGCGUGGGAACGUACCUUUUGGUUCGGAACAACACAGGGAAACUUGUGCUAAUACCGGAUAAGCCCUUACGGGGAAAGAUUUAUCGCCGAAAGAUCGGCCCGCGUCUGACUAGCUAGUUGGUGUGGUAACGGCGCACCAAGGCGACGAUCAGUAGCUGGCUGAGAGGAUGAUCAGCCACAUUGGGACUGAGACACGGCCCAAACUCCUACGGGAGGCAGCAGUGGGGAAUAUUGGACAAUGGGCGCAAGCCUGAUCCAGCCAUGCCGCGUGAGUGAUGAAGGCCCUAGGGUUGUAAAGCUCUUUUGUGCGGGAAGAUAAUGACGGUACCGCAAGAAUAAGCCCCGGCUAACUUCGUGCCAGCAGCCGCCGU
rnacentral:rRNA from 1 species